ACGGUGAAGCAAAGCUUGCUCUGUGGAUCAGUGGCGAACGGGUGAGUAACACGUGAGCAACCUGCCCCUGACUCUGGGAUAAGCGCUGGAAACGGCGUCUAAUACUGGAUAUGAGCUGCGACCGCAUGGUCAGCAGUUGGAAAGAUUUUUCGGUCUGGGAUGGGCUCACGGCCUAUCAGCUUGUUGGUGAGGUAAUGGCUCACCAAGGCGUCGACGGGUAGCCGGCCUGAGAGGGUGACCGGCCACACUGGGACUGAGACACGGCCCAGACUCCUACGGGAGGCAGCAGUGGGGAAUAUUGCACAAUGGGCGAAAGCCUGAUGCAGCAACGCCGCGUGAGGGAUGACGGCCUUCGGGUUGUAAACCUCUUUUAGCAGGGAAGAAGCGAAAGUGACGGUACCUGCAGAAAAAGCGCCGGCUAACUACGUGCCAGCAGCCGCGGUAAUACGUAGGGCGCAAGCGUUAUCCGGAAUUAUUGGGCGUAAAGAGCUCGUAGGCGGUUUGUCGCGUCUGCUGUGAAAUCCCGAGGCUCAACCUCGGGUCUGCAGUGGGUACGGGCAGACUAGAGUGCGGUAGGGGAGAUUGGAAUUCCUGGUGUAGCGGUGGAAUGCGCAGAUAUCAGGAGGAACACCGAUGGCGAAGGCAGAUCUCUGGGCCGUUACUGACGCUGAGGAGCGAAAGGGUGGGGAGCAAACAGGCUUAGAUACCCUGGUAGUCCACCCCGUAAACGUUGGGAACUAGUUGUGGGGUCCAUUCCACGGAUUCCGUGACGCAGCUAACGCAUUAAGUUCCCCGCCUGGGGAGUACGGCCGCAAGGCUAAAACUCAAAGGAAUUGACGGGGACCCGCACAAGCGGCGGAGCAUGCGGAUUAAUUCGAUGCAACGCGAAGAACCUUACCAAGGCUUGACAUAUACGAGAACGGGCCAGAAAUGGUCAACUCUUUGGACACUCGUAAACAGGUGGUGCAUGGUUGUCGUCAGCUCGUGUCGUGAGAUGUUGGGUUAAGUCCCGCAACGAGCGCAACCCUCGUUCUAUGUUGCCAGCACGUAAUGGUGGGAACUCAUGGGAUACUGCCGGGGUCAACUCGGAGGAAGGUGGGGAUGACGUCAAAUCAUCAUGCCCCUUAUGUCUUGGGCUUCACGCAUGCUACAAUGGCCGGUACAAAGGGCUGCAAUACCGUGAGGUGGAGCGAAUCCCAAAAAGCCGGUCCCAGUUCGGAUUGAGGUCUGCAACUCGACCUCAUGAAGUCGGAGUCGCUAGUAAUCGCAGAUCAGCAACGCUGCGGUGAAUACGUUCCCGGGUCUUGUACACACCGCCCGUCAAGUCAUGAAAGUCGGUAACACCUGAAGCC
rnacentral:rRNA from 1 species